rnacentral:tRNA from 1 species
GCCGGAGUAGCUCAACGGUAGAGCAACUGUUUUGUAAACAGUAGGUUGGGGGUUCGAUUCCUCUCUCCGGCUCCA